GCCAGCAUGCUAGAGUGGUUUGUGUGUUGGACUACAACUCUGGACAUCAGGGUUCGAUUCCCCGCUCGGGCA